rnacentral:tRNA from 1 species
GCCGUGGUCGUCUAAUGGUAAGACGCUCUUAGUCCAAGAGAAAUGGAGGUUCAACUCCUUCCCUAGGCU